rfam:Hordeum vulgare subsp. vulgare, WGS project CAJW01000000 data, contig: morex_contig_1572414
CAUAUACUCCCUCCGUCCGGAAAUAAUUGUCCUACAAAUGAAUGAAUUUAGACUUAUUUUAAUUAUAGAUACAUCCAUUAUAUCAAUUUUUAAGACAAUUAUUUUCGAACGGAGGGAGUAGGUA